CUGUUCAUUUUUCUGUAUGAAUAGAAUUAAUAGUGGUGUAAUGUUGAGGAAGUGGUUACGAUGGUAUCGAUCCCGUCAUGUGCGAGUGGGAGAUGUUGGCAUUCGGUUAAAUCGAAUCGGCUGCGCCCAUAAUCGGGCUCGAUCCGACGGUUAUUAUGAUAUCUAAUUGGAUUAGGAUUAAUCUCGCUUUUAAAUUGGAA
rnacentral:lncRNA from 1 species